AAAGAAACUAACAAGGAUUCCCCUAGUAACGGCGAGUGAAGAGGGAAGAGCUCAAAUUUUAAAUCUGCCUUGUUUCAAGGUCGAGUUGUAAUUUGAAGAAGCGUUUUCUUGGGCUCGCGGCCGGUAGAAGUUCUUUGGAACAGGACAUCAUAGAGGGUGACAAUCCCGUCUGCGACCGGUCGUGCGUUCAUCUACGAUACGCUUUCAAAGAGUCGAGUUGUUUGGGAUUGCAGCUCCAAAUGGGUGGUAAACAUCACCUAAGGCUAAAUAUUGGCGAGAGACCGAUAGCGAACAAGUACCGUGAGGGAAAGAUGAAAAGAACUUUGAAAAGAGAGUUAAACAGUACGUGAAAUUGUUGAAAGGGAAACGAUUGAAGUCAGUCGUGCUGGCGCGAAAUCAACCCUCUCGUCGAGAGGACACAUGGCGUGGCGAGCCUCAAAACCGUCACGAAGCGUGAACUCUUGGCGAAAAGGAGCACUUUCGUGUCCGCUGGUUAACAUCAAUUUCGAACGUCAUAAAAAGGCUGGAGGGAUGUGGCUCCUUCGGGAGGGUUAUAACCUUUAGCGGAAUGUGGUGGUCGGGAUUGAGGAUUGCAACGAAUACCUUUAGGGCUGUUCCACCUGGCCUCUCUUUGGUAUCCUGGUGACGACAGCUUGCUGACGUUGUUAGGAUUCGCCAUUGAACAGGCUAGAGUGUGAGCAAAUUCGUUAAGGAAUGUUGACGUA
rnacentral:rRNA from 1 species